GAACAGGAAUCAUUCCCUUCCUUCAGCUUUUCUUAGGAUUUCUCUGAAGCGAAGUUGAAUGUACGUCACAAGCUUGUGUACAUGGAUUCCUCUCUCCAAGGGGCUCUUCCCCCUUGAGGCACUAAAAUAAUGUCUUAUGGCAAUGAAGGACUGGUUCCUUUGUCCUUUUCCGACUUUAACCCAUUAACUCCAGCAACAGGACCCUCCGCAAGGAUAACCAGAGCUGGGACUCAGUACUGUGUUGAAGAGGAGCAAAGAGAGUGGACAUCCCAAUCUUACUUCUGACCUUAGAAGAAAAACAUUGCACCAUUAGGUAUGAUGUUAGAUGUAGAUUUUUUUAUAAAUGCUUUUUAUCAGGCUGAG
rnacentral:lncRNA from 1 species